GUCCCUGUAGCGAUAUGGUUAGAUGGGUAGUGCGUUGGAUUUCUAAUCCAAAGGUCGUGAGUUCGAAUCCCACCUGGGAUG